rnacentral:RNase_P_RNA from 3 species
GCCGUUUCCCGGGUGAUCGCAGUGUGCCGCAAGGCCGGCUGAGGAAAGUCCGGACACCGCAGGGUAGCGUGCCUCGUGAAAAGUGAGGACGGGGAGAUCGUGAGAGAUCCUCGAUGGAAAGUGCCGCAGAAAAUACACCGCCGAUGGUCUCGCUUGCGAGAAUCAGGUAAGGUUGAAAUGGUGGAGUAAGAGCCCACCGCGCCGACGGUAACGAAGGUGGCAGGGCAAACCCCACGUGGUGCAAGACAGAACAGGGGAGAGCGACCCGCUCACUUCUCCGGGUAAUAGUCGCACUCCGCGCAAGCGGGGUCUUACGCAAGUAAGGAGAGAAAUGAUCGCCCAUGGCUGCCGCGAGGCCGCCGGGACAGAAUCCGGCUUACAGGGAAACGGCACCC